UUUAUGCGCAACACGUAUUUUUCAUUCUCUAAUAUCGAGGUCACUGUGUUACAGAAGAACAACUUCGAUGAAAUAUUGCAAAUCGAAAGAGUUAUUUGAACAUUUAUUCGAUGUGACAGUAGUUGAAGGUGUUAUCGUCGAAAGUUUAACGGUCGUUUGUAUCUGUGAUUAUGAUCUAUUGGAUUGAGUUUAGUUACGGAAAAGACGAAGAAGGAAUUCAAAUUUGUUGAUCGAUGAUUUGAGCUUUUCUUGAAAUUUUUAACUUUCUCAAUAAUAUUCUAUUUAUUUUCGUGUAUCGGCACUGUUCGGCAUAACCAGCACAGUUGUGAGAGAGUUUUAUUGCGAAUGUCAGGGCCGACGGGCCGGCCAUUCCUUUGUAAGAGUACCGUCAGAAAUAAGCAUAUACGAUCUAUGUAUCCGAGAUCAUGACGAAUCGCAAAAUACGUAUAUAGUAUAAAUGUGUACGCAGCGAUACUUGCUUGUUCUCUCUCGUAAUUAUAUCACUAGGAGUAUUCUCCUUCCGUAUAUUUCGUACAUUUGUUCGUAGAAUUUUUGCAUAGUUUACAUCGACCCUGUUACAUAGUUAUAUAAGUAUAUUCAUCUGUAAUUAUUAACGAUGUUAGCGAGGCUACUCUUUCCGAGUAAUCGAGUUUUCCUUUUCAUAGGUCAUACGUAAAUCUUAUUUAUUCUACAAUGAAGCAUUAUUGUGUGAUAACACGAGGUGUGUUCUACAGUUUCCUCAUUUCUUUCCGAAGAACUACUUACAUCAAAUAGCUUAAAUUAUUGUCGUCUUUCGACAUUAGUCAUUCUGUACACGUACUUACUGUUCACAAAGUCAAUGCCAUGAUUGCAUGACUUGGCUGUGAACGAUUCUUUAGGAGGUUUAUUUUGCCCAUUGGAAAAUUACUGAUGCAAGAAUGGCACGAUUGGAAACAGAGAGACCACGGAGAGUGUCCUUCGACGUUGGAAAAAGCCCAAAAUCGUUAGGUGUAAAUUUCAGGUGAGUAGGGAGCAUGAGGAAUCACUUCAAAGUUGUUCGUCGUGAAGAAUUUCUGAAGACUGUGGUCGAUCAAUUUCCAGUCGUGCUGCUCUUGUAUCAGCGAUUUUCCAGUGAACAAGACAGACUCCGAAAGAAUUGUUCACAGCGUCCGUAGAAUCAUGGCGUAGACGUUGUGAAAAAUGUGUACGUGUAUAGAAUAAUUAAGUUGAGAAAUGACAAUAGCUUCAUUUUUCUGAUUCUAUAAGUAACUUUUCAGAAAAAUAUUAAAAGACCUUAGAAUUCGAAUGCAUCUCUGUAAUGUUUGUAUGUAGUAAAAAUGUGAUAAGUCAAUAUCUAUUUAGAAGCAAGUAACCAGCUAAUGAUAAUCAGUUAUCUCAUCACUAUGAUUAUUUGUAAAUAACGAAAAUUGAAAAUAAACUUUACGUUUUAAAGAUAACUUUCGACUCGAAACUCAAAUCAGGUGGAUAUUAAAUGCCUAUUACGUGGAAUCAUCAUAGAAAUCGAAUAAUCGUUGCGAUAUGAAAACUGUCAUUAUUGGCUUUUGUCUUACUUCUAGAUAGAUAUCAUUGGCUCGUCACAUCUGCACUACAUAUAAGCAUUACCGAACAUACUGAUAUGUUUCGCUAUAGAAUAAGAGCGGAGAGAUUACGUAAGAUACAGAAAAAAAACUUUGACUACAUUAAAGAGGGAAUUACAGUUAUGAAAAAUGAAGGGGUUACAUACACCUAGGCGGUUCCCGAAAAGGAGAUUUUUAUGGUUUUUUCGUCCAUGUAAUUUAUUUUUUUAAUAAAGGAGCAUUAAGGUUGUGUGUACUUUGAGGAAUAUUUUUCAACAAAAAAAUGAAACCAAUCCGUUACGUUGUUGGAGUUAUCGAUGUCGAACGAAGCAGAGUUAUUUUCUAUGGCAUUUGCGGUGCCAAUAAUAUCUCCUCAGGGUAUUAUCAAAAAUGAAAAAAGUGAAAGAACUCUUGAAGUACAUUAAAAAAAUCAGUCCUUCACGAAGCCGAUUUUUAAUAUACUCAUUGUAUAAAAAAAUGUGAGUGAUUGAAUUUAUCAUGCGAUUUCCGAUAAAAAAUCUCAGUAGCUUCUUAAUAAUUAAAAAAAUACUAGGGUUCUUAAAAAAAUUUCCAUAUGACAAAGAUUAGAUAAUAAUAUGAGAAAUAAUCAUACCAAAUUUCAUUUAAAUUGGCUCAAUAGUUCUCAACAUGACCUUGACACCGAUUUGAAAAACAUAGUUUUGAGAAAGCAGCGUUUAAAGUUUAGAAUAUAUAUAAUAUUAAACUCGGUAGGAUCGAAACAAUUGUAUUUUUAUUAAUUUUUGGAAUUUUCUGAGGAAAUUUUCAGAGAAUAUUCUUAAAAGAUAAUACUGUCGAAAAAAAAUUUGUUUGAAGAAUCGAUCUUUUUUGAACUUUCUCGAUGUAUGUAACUCCUUAAGGUCACAGUUUUUUAUUUUCUUGUCGCCGAAAUUUUCUCGAUUUUUUUCUAUUUUUUUCCUUACGUUUUCAAACACGAUUCAAUCUUUCCGUGCGAUCAUCUUCCAUCGAGUUGAUUGGAUGAAACUGCUUUCGCCAUGAUUUUGUUAUUAUCUCUUUUUAUUUGCUUAAAUAUAUUACAUUGCCUCGUGCAAUUUACUGUCACUAAUUAACUUUUGUCUUUAGAACAGCACCGACUUAUAAAAUAAUUGGAUCACAUAAUGUCGAAAAGUCAGUGAUAAAAUAUCAAAGCUUUGUUUCUGAGAGUUUCGUCGAUCGGACGGGAUUAAGAUAUUUCCUCAAAUUCGAUAAGAUUCUCAUGACUUGUGAUCGGUUUGUUUCAAAAGGAGAGAAGACGAUGACGAAGAAAAAGAGAUGAGAGAAAGAAAGAGACGGGUGGGGAAAAAAUGCCACCACAGCGUGAAAAGACCAGCAAUGGUAGCUUGUUAGUGCGAUACGACACCAUAAAAAAAAGGACGAAAAGAUUGAAGGUCCUUUUCUGGAGCCACCUGCUGUUACGACUGCAAAAGCAACUGUAAGCGCGGUUGCCACUCGAUUGGUCCUUACGAUGACAGACGGGUGCAACGUGUGGGGCAAUCAGAGGGAACAUGGGAAGAAUCGAGGAUGGCUUCACGCAUUCCCAUGCCCUGAUUCUCCGAUUUCUACCUUUCUCGUAAUCGUUUUUCUCUUAUCCCGUAAACUUACACUUCUAUCAAAACAAACUACGAUAAGUAUUAAUUAAUAGCUAUAUAGAAUGUUAACGGAUUAUUAAGUAACUUUCUUUUCUUCCUUUUUUCUCUUUUUUUGUUUCCCUUUUUUUCUUGCCGACAGACGGUUCUUAUCGAUUGAUGAUUUUUAAAAUAGAUUUUAACCACGUAACGAAUCUGAUUAGAUUAGAAUAUAUUCGAAGGUGUAUUCUAUUUUUUAUAUUAAAAAAAGAAAGAAAGAAGAAAUGGCCGAUCAAAGAGCCAAAGAAUAUAUGGUCCAUUUAGAUUCUGCAGACCACCAAUGCGACGACUUUUUCCGAGAAACCAUAAAAUCACUUAAUCUUCGAGUAUCCAAGUUAUGGAUGGUUAUAAACGGUUUCGUGACCACGAAUCCACGAUACUGUUACGGAAGAUGAAGGGGAGAAAAGAGAGGAGAAUGAGAAUCUCAUCGAUCGAGCAGACAUUAAUUUUUAUUAAACGAUAUAAUAAGCAUUAUUAUGGGCAGUAUAGCGAACGCAGGGAUUGUAUGAUAACGAUCACAAUCGAACAGUACCCAUAUGUUUAUUCUGCAACAUUUUAGGUAAGAUCGAUUUUAACGAACGUUAGCAGAAUAUUUCUAAAGUUGUCUCAUUAUAUAAAAAAUCGCUACAACGAAGAGAGAUAGGAGUGAACAAAAAAAUGAGCAAAAGUCGCUAAAUUGAUUAUACUAGAAAAAUAAGGGAGCGAAAACUAGCGAAGAACAAAGAUAGAAGAAAAAGGAAAAAAAGAUCAAAAAUGCAAAUGGAUGGGUUCAGUUUCAGGAUUCUGUAGGUAUCGUAUCCGUGCAUCUUCGCUCGCUUGACUCCAUCGAGAUUUCUCUCUGAAAGAAUAUGCAGCAUACCCUUGCAAAAGAAGGAAAGAAUCGGCGAUUUUGUCGUUUAGAAUAUAAUAUAUGUCGGUUGGUGUGCAUCUUUCAGGGAACGCGGACCAAUGCGCGAGAUUUGAAUCGCUUUGAAAGUCGAUUUGGCUUUCAAACGUCACGAGAAGAAGUCGAUGGCCUAUCUCGGUCUUUCGGUCUUCGUUUCUUUUUUGUUUUUUUCUCUAUCUCUUUCUUUCUGACAUGCGUAGUCCUAUCUGGCCGAUCGGCGGGACGACAGCUUUGAGCGUGCCCUCGAUUCCGUGAGCCAUAAAAAUUCGAUCGAAAUUCUCUUGGGGACUCUCGAGAGAUCGUGCAUCAAAUUGCACGCGCAUCAGACGGUGCACGUGCGCUGUCGAGCAAGUCGAUGUCGUCGAAUUUCAAAUUUCUCAUUUUCUUUUCGUUUUUUCUCCUUUUGUCUCUUUGUUAUUUUCUUUUUUUAAACGCUUCGCGUAGAAGUAGCUCGAUCAUUUUGUAGAGCCGUGUGAAUUCCAUUUCGAAGUAGUAGCCACUUAUCUAUCUAUCUGUAUAUAUAUACACACACACACACCAGGUAUAUAUGUAUAUACAUAUAACUGUAUAUACAUGUGUGUGUGUGUAUACGCAGGAGUAUAGAGAUAAUCGGAAGAAAAAGUUCUUUCUCUAAAGAGCGAGAGCAUUGAUUUCAUUAAAUGAAAGAGAAAGAUAACUCCUCACGUGUUAUUUAUUAUUUUUUAUUUCCUUCUUUAAGAAGAUAUUUUUCGGCCAAAAAGAUUUCUAGAGAGUCUUCUCAGAGAAUAAAAAAUGCACAAAGAUUGUUAAUAGUAUACCAAGAAUAAAUCGAAGAAAAUAAAGAAGUAGCAGCAAAGAGAUUCGUCGUCAGCAGCGGGCGUUCUAUGCACGUGGGAGCGAUUGUCGGUCGAUCGGUCGUCGAUCGAUUGUCGAUCGACGUUGAUGCUCUUGCUUACAGAAAAAAGAUUCAAACUCGACAAAGAAAGAGAGAAAGAGAGAGGGAGGUCAGAGAGAGGGAAAGAGAGAAAAAGAGGGAGAGAGAGAAAGAGAGGGAGAGAGAGAGAGAGAGGGAAUAGACAGAGAGAGAGAGAGAGAGAGAGAUAAAGAGAAAGAGCAUUCUUUAACCGGCAACGAUGAUCGCUAUGAAGGAUCGCAGAGCGUGGUGGGAGGGCCGAAGGAGGUGACGGGCUGGAGGGUGCAAGAAGAGGUGAUGGUAGUGGUAUGGUGAUGGUAAGGAGGAAGGGGUGGAAGAGUGGGGGGCAACGAGCCAUAGGCGUCAGUCGCGCCGACAGCGACGGCGACGGGCAGACGCACGGCCCCGCUACACGCGAAUGCGUAAGAUACUACGCUCGCGCGUUAAAGAGGGGGAAAAGAGGAGGGGGACAAAAAGAGAGAAAGAGAAAGAAAAGAGAGAGAGAGAGAGAGAAACAAGGCGCCGGGAGAGAAAACGAGAGCGCGUAUAUAGGGGAGGCGAAGGAGGAAGAGGAGAAGGAAGAGGUGAAGGAAGAGGAGAAGGAGGAAGCAGAGGGAGAGAGUAGAAGGAGAGGACGAUGGAGAAAGAAAGAAGAAGAAGAAAGAGAGGAGGAGGCCACCACUUCGACAUAUAUGCGGUGAAACCGCGCGCCUCCUGACUCAGUGCUUGACAGGCUAGCAAGCUUUAAGGAUCUGUGGGUACCGCGCCUACCAGCAAUCCUGAACCCCUCCCCCACCCUAUCGACUAGACCUUUUUCACGCGUGAUACUUUCGCUCUUGUUUUAUUUCUCUCUGUCUUUUUUCUCUUUCUAUUUAUCUCUAUCUCUUUUUUCUUUUAUUCUUUUGCCAUCCCAGAGAAAAGAAAGAAAUAGACACCACGAGGGGAUCAGCGUCUCUCAUUUUCUGUUAACUCAGAAGAGGGUACGCUACUCUUGUCUCUGGAGAACCAUCUCGAUCCUGACAUAAUAUAGGAAAAGAAAGAUCUAAGGAGGAAGAAUCGAAGAAAGAAUCACGAUUGCUAAAAUUGCCAAGGUCGAGCGUGCCGGUGUUGUCUUUGCGAGAGGAAUUGGAGAAAGAGGAAGAAGAAAAAGAAGAAAUAGCGGUGACGGUCGUUCAAAAGGGGGGCAAUGUUCAUCGGGAGGAUGCAUAUCGUCAUAGGAGAGCAGGCCAAGGUGCAUCGGUGAAGAAGCUACGUUUUGAGUUUGAGUACGCGUGCGAUAUUCUUCGAGACAACGACGACGAUGAAGAGACCGGGCCGGAACUGAAGGUCACGAGGGUGCAGCGGGACCGCUCGUCGCACUCUUCGUCUCUUUCUCCUCCCACCCUCUCUCAAUAUAUAUAUAUAUAUAUAUAUAUAUAUAUAUAUAUAUAUAUACAUACAUACA